AGGGAAACAAGCCAAGGAACUCACAUGGAGAAGACACGCAGUGCCUAUUGAAGAAGGGAACGUGGUUCUGGAUCCAGACACAGCCCACUGUGAGCUUGUUGUGUC